ACCUUUAAAAGUGCUUGUUUAGAGUGUGAAAAUACAUUGAAUGCCCAUCCUAGGAGUAAUACUUCGGUCUCAGCCCAACCACCAGCCUGGACUCUGGCCUCUGGGAGCUGCACCCGCCAGUGCAAACAUCAAAGCUUCUACUGUGAACUCCAACUUCAGAUGCUCUGCAACCCUUUUAUCUAUUUUUUUCCAGGUUACAGCAGCUUGACAAGCACUGUCAGGCCACUGCCCAGCAGUUAGUGGAGUUGCUCAACAAACAGAAUCAACUCUUCAAAGAGAAGCAGCUGCUUACAGAAGAGGUGCAGUUUCUGCGAACACAGGAAAAAAAAUGGGAUGCAGAUCUCAAACAGGACACAGAUGGAAUCAAGUAAAAACCUGGAUGGAUGAAAAGAAAUGAGCAGAAGUCUGCUCUGCACCUGGCUGAAACUUGUCUGAGGCUCACCCAAAGACACCUCUGCAGAAAACAGGCACAGUUGCUAGCUAAUUUCAGCUGGUUUCUAUUUGGUUUUAACUACAGAAUCACAAAUAUUUUGAAGCCUUACCAGCCUAUCAGACUUUCUAGGACAACAGCUGAGACUUUUCUGAAAAGACCAGGCUUGCAAGCCAGUUUUAAAAGCUAUUAUGUGGUAUAGACUUUAAUAAUUUGUACAAUUUUUAUAAAAUGUUUUAAUCUAUUUUCAUAAUUGAACAUACAUGUCUAUAUUAUUCACAGACUGAAAUAUCAAUAAACCUAAUAAGAUUCUUA